rnacentral:rRNA from 1 species
AAUCUUCGGAGGACACAGUCGGAAGUUAGUGGCGGACGGGUGAGUAACGCGUGGGUAACCUGCCCUUUAAAUUGGGACAACAGUUGGAAACGACUGCUAAUACCGAAUGUGACGUUUAGGAGACAUCUCUUGGAAGUCAAAGCUUUAUGUGCUGAAAGAUGGCCUCGCGUCUGAUUAGCUGGUUGGUGAGGUAACGGCUCACCAAGGCGACGAUCAGUAGCCGGUCUGAGAGGAUGAACGGCCACAUUGGGACUGAGAUACGGCCCAGACUCC